GAUGAACGCUGGCGGCGUGCCUAAUACAUGCAAGUCGAGCGAACAGACGAGGAGCUUGCUCCUCUGACGUUAGCGGCGGACGGGUGAGUAACACGUGGAUAACCUACCUAUAAGACUGGGAUAACUUCGUGAAACCGGAGCUAAUACCGGAUAAUAUAUUGAACCGCAUGGUUCAAUAGUGAAAGACGGUUUUGCUGUCACUUAUAGAUGGAUCCGCGCCGCAUUAGCUAGUUGGUAAGGUAACGGCUUACCAAGGCAACGAUGCGUAGCCGACCUGAGAGGGUGAUCGGCCACACUGGAACUGAGACACGGUCCAGACUCCUACGGGAGGCAGCAGUAGGGAAUCUUCCGCAAUGGGCGAAAGCCUGACGGAGCAACGCCGCGUGAGUGAUGAAGGUCUUCGGAUCGUAAAACUCUGUUAUUAGAGAAGAACAAAUGUGUAAGUAACUAUGCACGUCUUGACGGUACCUAAUCAGAAAGCCACGGCUAACUACGUG
rnacentral:rRNA from 1 species